rnacentral:rRNA from 2 species
CUGGCGGCGUGCUACCUGCAGUCGAACGGGACUGGGGGCAACUCCAGUUCAGUGGCGAACGGGUGCGUAACACGUGAGCAACCUGCCCUUCGGUGGGGGAUAGCCGGCCUAACGGCCGGGUAAUACCGCAUACAGCGCCGGGACCGCAUGGUCCUGGGGUGAAAGCCGCAAGGCGCCGGGGGAGGGGCUCGCGCCCUAUCAGCUGGUUGGUGAGGUAACGGCUCACCAAGGCGACGACGGGUAGCUGGUCUGAGAGGAUGGCCAGCCACAUUGGGACUGAGAUACGGCCCAGACUCCUACGGGAGGCAGCAGUGGGGAAUAUUGCGCAAUGGCCGAAAGGCUGACGCAGCGACGCCGCGUGUGGGAUGACGGCCUUCGGGUUGUAAACCACUGUUGGGAGGGACGAAGGCCCCGCAAGGGGAUUGACGGUACCUCCAGAGGAAGCACCGGCUAACUCCGUGCCAGCAGCCGCGGUAAUACGGAGGGUGCGAGCGUUGUCCGGAAUCACUGGGCGUAAAGGGCGCGUAGGCGGCGCGGUAAGUCGGAUGUGAAAUCCCGGGGCUCAACUCCGGGGCUGCAUCCGAGACUGUCGUGCUCGAGCGUGGUAGAGGCGAGUGGAAUUCCCGGUGUAGCGGUGGAAUGCGUAGAGAUCGGGAAGAACACCAGUGGCGAAGGCGGCUCGCUGGGCCAUUGCUGACGCUGAGGCGCGAAAGCGUGGGGAGCAAACAGGAUUAGAUACCCUGGUAGUCCACGCCGUAACGAUGGGCACUAUGCGCCGGGGGGGAGCGACCCUUUCGGUGCCGUCGCUAACGCAGUAAGU